rnacentral:rRNA from 1 species
AGAAAGCCCCGGCUAACUACGUGCCAGCAGCCGCGGUAAUACGUAGGGGGCGAGCGUUGUCCGAAUUUACUGGGCGUAAAGCGCGUGUAGGCGGUUCUUUAAGUCAGGUGUGAAAUCCCGUGGCUCAACCACGGAACUGCAUUUGAAACUGAAGGGCUUGAGUGUGGGAGAGGAAAGUGGAAUUCCUGGUGUAGCGGUGAGAUGCGUAGAUAUCAGGAGGAACACCCGUGGCGAAGGCGGCUUUCUGGCCCACCACUGACGCUGAGACGCGAAAGCUAGGGGAGCGAACGGGAUUAGAUACCCCGGUAGUCCUAGCCGUAAACGAUGGAUACUAGGUGUUAGAGGUAUCGACCCCUCUAGUGCCGUAGCUAACGCA